AAUACAUGGCGUACUGCUCAGUAACACGUGGACAACCUACCCUCAGGUCGGGGAUAAACCCGGGAAACUGGGUAUAAUACCCGAUAGAUCUCGGCUGCUGGAAUGCAUCGAGCUCUAAAGCUCCGGCGCCUGAGGAUGGGUCUGCGGCCUAUCAGGUAGUAGUGGGUGUAGCGUACCUACUAGCCUACGACGGGUACGGGUUGUGAGAGCAAGAGCCCGGAGAUGGAUUCUGAGACACGAAUCCAGGCCCUACGGGGUGCAGCAGGCGCGAAAACUUUACAAUGCCGGCAACGGCGAUAAGGGGACCUCGAGUGCCAGGUUACAAAUCUGGCUGUCGUGAUGCCUAAAAAGCAUUGCAUAGCAAGGGCCGGGCAAGACCGGUGCCAGCCGCCGCGGUAACACCGGCGGCUCGAGUGGUAACCGUUAUUAUUGGGUCUAAAGGGUCUGUAGCCGGCCGGAUAAGUCUCUUGGGAAAUCCAGCAGCUUAACUGUUGGGCUUUCAGGAGAUACUGUCUGGCUCGAGGCCGGGAGAGGUGAGAGGUACUUCAGGGGUAGGGGUGAAAUCUUGUAAUCCUUGAAGGACCACCAGUGGCGAAGGCGUCUCACCAGAACGGACCUGACGGCAAGGGACGAAAGCUAGGGGCACGAACCGGAUUAGAUACCCGGGUAGUCCUAGCCGUAAACGAUACUCGCUAGGUGUCGGCCACGGUGCGACCGUUGUCGGUGCCGUAGGGAAGCCGUGAAGCG
rnacentral:rRNA from 1 species